GAACGCGAAGAACCUUACCAGGCCUUGACAUCCCUUGCAAAGCUGUAGAGAUACAGUAGAGGUUAUCAAGGAGACAGGUGGUGCAUGGUUGUCGUCAGCUCGUGUCGUGAGAUGUUGGGUUAAGUCCCGCAACGAGCGCAACCCUUGCCUUCAGUUACCAGCAUUCAGUUGGGGACUCUGGAGGGACUGCCGGUGAUAAACCGGAGGAAGGUGGGGAUGACGUCAAAUCAUCAUGCCCCUUAUGGCCUGGGCUACACACGUACUACAAUGGCUGUUACAACGUGCAGCGACCUACGAUAGGAAGCGAAUCACUAAAAGACAGUCUCAGUUCGGAUUGAAGUCUGCAACUCGACUUCAUGAAGCUGGAAUCGCUAGUAAUCGCGGAUCAGAAUGCCGCGGUGAAUACGUUCUCGGGUCUUGUACACACC
rnacentral:rRNA from 1 species